rnacentral:rRNA from 1 species
UACGUAGGGUGCAAGCGUUGUCCGGAAUUAUUGGGCGUAAAGAGCUCGUAGGCGGUUUGUCGCGUCUGCUGUGAAAACUGGAGGCUCAACCUCCAGCCUGCAGUGGGUACGGGCAGACUAGAGUGCGGUAGGGGAGAUUGGAAUUCCUGGUGUAGCGGUGAAAUGCGUAGAUAUCAGGAGGAAUACCAGUGGCGAAGGCGACCCCCUGGGCCAAUACUGACGCUGAGGUACGAAAGCGUGGGUAGCGAACAGG